UGGGGAAUAUUGGACAAUGGGGGAAACCCUGAUCCAGCAAUGCCGCGUGAGUGAUGAAGGCCUUAGGGUUGUAAAGCUCUUUCGGCGGGGACGAUGAUGACGGUACCCGCAGAAGAAGCCCCGGCUAACUUCGUGCCAGCAGCCGCGGUAAUACGAAGGGGGCGAGCGUUGUUCGGAAUUACUGGGCGUAAAGGGCGCGCAGGCGGCUCAGACAGUCAGAUGUGAAAGCCCCGGGCUUAACCUGGGAACUGCAUUUGAUACUACUGAGCUUGAGUACGGGAGAGGAUAGUGGAAUUCCCAGUGUAGAGGUGAAAUUCGUAGAUAUUGGGAAGAACACCGGUGGCGAAGGCGGCUAUCUGGACCGUAACUGACGCUGAGGCGCGAAAGCGUGGGGAGCAAACAG
rnacentral:rRNA from 1 species